UCGACUGUACUUGCACAGGAUCACUUCUACAGUGACUCCUCUUGCAUACACAACAGUCACCAGAACACCAUACAAUCUCUCAUGAUGAUGAUGGUCAAUCUUCUCAAGAGGACUUGCUUCACGCUUAAUGAAAGCUUAGAGAAGAUUGGAUCUGAAGAGAU
rnacentral:snoRNA from 1 species